CCUACGGGAGGCAGCAGUAGGGAAUAUUGCUCAAUGGGGGAAACCCUGAAGCAGCAACGCCGCGUGGAGGAUGAAGGUUUUCGGAUUGUAAACUCCUUUUGUUAGAGAAGAUAAUGACGGUAUCUAACGAAUAAGCACCGGCUAACUCCGUGCCAGCAGCCGCGGUAAUACGGAGGGUGCAAGCGUUACUCGGAAUCACUGGGCGUAAAGAGCGCGUAGGCGGGAUAGCAAGUCAGAUGUGAAAUUCUAGGGCUUAACCAUAGAACUGCAUUUGAAACUGUUAUUCUAGAGUAUGGGAGAGGUAGGUGGAAUUCUUGGUGUAGGGGUAAAAUCCGUAGAGAUCAAGAGGAAUACUCAUUGCGAAGGCGACCUGCUAGAACAUAACUGACGCUGAUGCGCGAAAGCGUGGGGAGCAAACAGGAUUAGAUACCCGUGUAGUC
rnacentral:rRNA from 1 species